rnacentral:rRNA from 1 species
CAGCAGCCGCGGUAAUACGUAGGGUGCAAGCGUUAAUCGGAAUUACUGGGCGUAAAGCGUGCGCAGGCGGUUAUAUAAGACAGAUGUGAAAUCCCCGGGCUCAACCUGGGAACUGCAUUUGUGACUGUAUAGCUAGAGUACGGCAGAGGGGGAUGGAAUUCCGCGUGUAGCAGUGAAAUGCGUAGAUAUGCGGAGGAACACCGAUGGCGAAGGCAAUCCCCUGGGCCUGUACUGACGCUCAUGCACGAAAGCGUGGGGAGCAAACAGGAUUAGAUACCCGGGUAGUCCCUGUCUCUUAUAU